GACGAACGCUGGCGGCGUGCUUAACACAUGCAAGUCGAACGGAAAGGCCCUGCUUUUGUGGGGUGCUCGAGUGGCGAACGGGUGAGUAACACGUGAGUAACCUGCCCUUGACUUUGGGAUAACUUCAGGAAACUGGGGCUAAUACCGGAUAGGAGCUCCUGCUGCAUGGUGGGGGUUGGAAAGUUUCGGCGGUUGGGGAUGGACUCGCGGCUUAUCAGCUUGUUGGUGGGGUAGUGGCUUACCAAGGCUUUGACGGGUAGCCGGCCUGAGAGGGUGACCGGCCACAUUGGGACUGAGAUACGGCCCAGACUCCUACGGGAGGCAGCAGUGGGGAAUAUUGCACAAUGGGCGGAAGCCUGACGCAGCAACGCCGCGUGCGGGAUGACGGCCUUCGGGUUGUAAACCGCUUCCGCCUGUGACGAAGCGUGAGUGACGGUAAUGGGUAAAGAAGCACCGGCUAACUACGUGCCAGCAGCCGCGGUGAUACGUAGGGUGCGAGCGUUGUCCGGAUUUAUUGGGCGUAAAGGGCUCGUAGGUGGUUGAUCGCGUCGGAAGUGUAAUCUUGGGGCUUAACCCUGAGCGUGCUUUCGAUACGGGUUGACUUGAGGAAGGUAGGGGAGAAUGGAAUUCCUGGUGGAGCGGUGGAAUGCGCAGAUAUCAGGAGGAACACCAGUGGCGAAGGCGGUUCUCUGGGCCUUUCCUGACGCUGAGGAGCGAAAGCGUGGGGAGCGAACAGGCUUAGAUACCCUGGUAGUCCACGCUGUAAACGGUGGGUACUAGGUGUGGGGUCCAUUCCACGGGUUCCGUGCCGUAGCUAACGCUUUAAGUACCCCGCCUGGGGAGUACGGCCGCAAGGCUAAAACUCAAAGGAAUUGACGGGGCCCCGCACAAGCGGCGGAGCAUGCGGAUUAAUUCGAUGCAACGCGUAGAACCUUACCUGGGUUUGACAUGGAUCGGGAGUGCUCAGAGAUGGGUGUGCCUCUUUUGGGGUCGGUUCACAGGUGGUGCAUGCCUGUCGUCAGCUCGUGUCGUGAGAUGUUGGGUUAAGUCCCGCAACGAGCGCAACCCUUGUUCACUGUUGCCAGCACGUUAUGGUGGGGACUCAGUGGAGACCGCCGGGGUCAACUCGGAGGAAGGUGGGGAUGACGUCAAGUCAUCAUGCCCCUUAUGUCCAGGGCUUCACGCAUGCUACAAUGGCUGGUACAGAGAGUGGCGAGCCUGUGAGGGUGAGCGAAUCUCGGAAAGCCGGUCUCAGUUCGGAUUGGGGUCUGCAACUCGACCUCAUGAAGUCGGAGUCGCUAGUAAUCGCAGAUCAGCAACGCUGCGGUGAAUACGUUCCCGGGGCU
rnacentral:rRNA from 1 species